AACAGGAUCCCCAUAGUAAUGGCGAAUGAACAGGGAUGAGCUCAGCAUGGAAAUUGGGGCCUGUGGCUUUGACUUGUAAUCUUUUGAGGCAUUGCCAACAGAGGCGCAGAUGUAAGUCUCUUGGAAAAGAGCACCAGUGAAGGUGAGAGCCCUGCUUGCCAUUUGCAGCCCCCCUGUGCACGGUGUGCCUGCUAAGAGUCACGUUCCUUGGGAUUGGAGCGCAAAGUGGGUGGUAACUUUCAUCUGAAGCUAAACAAUGGUUCGGGACCGAUAGGAAACAAGUACCAUGAGGGAAAGGUGAAAAGGACUUUGGAAAGAGAGUUAAAAGUGCCUGAAAUUGCUGAAGGGGAAGCGAAUGGAACCAGUGGCGCUGGGUGAGAUUGUCGCAUGCCGCAGGGAUUGGUUGCUGCUUUGGCGUAAGUGAUCUGGCAAUGUUUGAACUGUGGUUGUGUGGUGUGUCUUGCCUUGUGUGUCAUUGUGGGCUUGUGCGUUAAGACAAUUCAAAUUGCAUGGUAGUAUGUUUCCGAACAUAUGAAUGUAGCUUGUUAUGUUAAUGCAUUGGCUCUUUGCUGUCUGUCUGGCCGUGCCGGUUGUCCUCAACUGCGGUUUUGGCAAUGCUGGCAUUUCGUUCUGCACAGAAUAUGACUAAAU
rnacentral:rRNA from 1 species